UUUUUUUUAUGAUGAGCAAUUUUAUUAUUAGUUAUCCCUGUCAGAACUACACUGUUGAUAACGUACACCUCUGAAAAAAAA
rnacentral:snoRNA from 1 species